GGCACUGGUUUCCGUACCAUCACCGAAGUUAAGCAACGUCGAGCCUGGUCAGUACCGAGAUGGUGACCGCUUGAGAAUACUAGGUGCUGUGA